rnacentral:tRNA from 1 species
GUAAAUGUAGUCUAAUGGUUAGGGCAAUGUAUUGUGAUUUCAUUAAUUGCGGGUUCAAGUCCCGUCAUUUACCG